ensembl:miRNA
GGAAUGUCACCUGUGUGUUUUCUCUGCAUGUCCUCUUCAUUCUUCUACUGAAGACUGGUCUCUACCAUGUGUGAGGGAGGAGGUUGGGUGUUAAGGGAAAACGGGG